rnacentral:rRNA from 1 species
UACGAAGGGGGCUAGCGUUGUUCGGAUUUACUGGGCGUAAAGCGCACGUAGGCGGAUAUUUAAGUCAGGGGUGAAAUCCUGGAGCUCAACUCCAGAACUGCCUUUGAUACUGGAAAGCUUGAGUUCGGGAGAGGUGAGUGGAACUGCGAGUGUAGAGGUGAAAUUCGUAGAUAUUCGCAAGAACACCAGUGGCGAAGGCGGCUCACUGGCCCGAUACUGACGCUGAGGUGCGAAAGCGUGGGGAGCAACGGG